rnacentral:rRNA from 1 species
AUUGAACGCUGGCGGCAAGCUUAACACAUGCAAGUCGAGCGAGCGGCGCACGGGUGAGUAAUGUGUAGAAAACCGCCGGAUGGCGGGGGUUAACUACUGGAAACGGUAGCCAAUACCGCAUACCAUUAGAUGUGCCCAGGUGGGAUUCGCUAGUAGGUAGGGUAAUGGCUCACCUGGGCGACGAUCCCUAUCUGAUUUGAGAGGAUCAUCAGCCACACGGGAACGGAGACACGGUGCAGACUCCUACGCGAGGCAGCAGUGCGGAUGUGUGCACAAUGGGCGGAAGCCUGAUGCAGUCAUGCCGCGUGUGUGAAGAAGGCCUUCGGGUUGUAAAACACUGUUAUCGGGGAGGCGUUACUCGCAUAAAAAGCAACGGCUAACUCCGUGCCAGCCGCCGCGGUAAUUC